GGAACAGGCCCGUCAUGGCCCGCACGCUCUCCAGACGGGCCGACGGUUCGGCAGCCAUGAGUCUCUUCAGUCGCGCCGCCACCUCAGGCAACGCUCCGGCUUUCGCCGCCAUCGCGUAUGUCUUCCCGGUCAGCUUUUAUUCGUCGGCCCACAGGGGCCCUCAGGACCAUCCUGUGGCUCUCUGCACAGCCUGGAAGGGCAGAAGGGCACCAUGCAGAGAGAAAGGAGAAGAGCAGAAGGGGUAGAUGCUGUUAAAUCCACGUUGGUUAUCUGAUGGAUGAUUCAAUAAUGACUUGACUAUCUCUGAGAAAUGCAGAUGCUUCUUAUGCAACAUCGUAAACACUGUGUGAUUCACACAGUGAAUCACUUCUGCGUGAUUCACCACCUUAAAUCAAGCAUCAGUGUUGAAUUGGCCCUUCUCAACUGCAGUUUCCAUUAUGGGCAACACCUGGGACCUCCUGCAAGAACAUCUUGCCAGCAGUGAGAAGCAGGAAGUUCUCGACUGAUGAGUGGAAAAAUGAAGAAAACAUCACUGAGUAUCCAGAGCUGAAGAGCAAACAAAGUUGUCAAUACCAUGAAAAAUCAGCUUAUGUUCUCUCUGUAUUGCUUUUGCUGUUCUGCAAAGCAGAUUUUCCUUAGCACACUGAAGGAGGUAAUUACCUAAUUUAGUCCACCACUGGUGCAUUAGCUAUAUGAGAUAACUUCAGCUUUCCCAAGUGCAGCUUUUUUCUGAAUUAAUUCACUCCUGGGUAGCUGUGUCCAGGUUCGAUACUCAAUGAAAAUGUGCUUGAAAACUUCAGCUUGCUCUGUUGGUCCAGUCUGGCUUUUGGGUUUGUAUUUUUUUCCCUGUGUAGCAGGCUGUGCUCACCUCUUUGAUCAAAGUAACCCUGGACUUCAGUCUGAAUGCAAUUUGAACUUUACAAAUUAGGUCUCCCCCAGCUAACAAAGUGGGCAUUUUACUCCUUUUCCUGCUUGCAGCAACAAAAUUCCAUACUUCUGUGCACAGCUGGUAGCAUUUUAGUCAGGCAAUCCCUAUGUAAUCUAUUAUAAUUUUUUUCUUCCUUCCACAGUGUGUGGGUCUUCCAAAUAGUGAAAAUCAACCAUCGCCUGACUAUAAUUCUAUCCAAAUACAUGUUUCAGCAGAGCUCCCUAUGGGAGCAACCCAGGUGCCUGAACACAGAUGUGUAGUGCCAUUUGGGAUGAUUUAGGCUAGCUGAGAUGCCCACAUAGGGCUAUAAGAACUGUGGAAGACGCAUGCCUUUCUGGAGAGGCGGCCAGAGCCAGGGCGGGCUAUAAAAGUCCCAAACAUCUCAACUAAUUUCAAACACCUGAAUGAUUCCUUCAGCACCUCCAGGAGACACCACACAAUUAGAGGGGCAGAUUACUUCUGAGCUCAUUAGCUGAAGGCACUGCACAAAUUUUCCCCAUACAUUAUCAAAUGUCAAUAAUGGAUUAUUUUAUGAUGGUAUGGAAACCAGCACUUCAGUUCUGCACUGCCAUCCCCACCCUUGCAAGGGGGGAAUCAGUAUGUUUGUAUUAUAAGCCUAGUGUUUACAUGUAACUACUUCAUCUGUCUUACACACCUCAGCGUGUACCGUAUUUUUCCAGUCCUUCUGUCAACUUAAUCUGUUGGUCUCUGGGUUGGACUGCUUAGAGGAGAAACUGAAGCUUCCUUCUAUGAACUACUUUGAUUUUAGGAUUCUUUUCAAUCUCAGAUUAUUGAGAACUCUAGCAUUUGCUACACUUAAUUUGUGUGCAAGAAAAAUUUCUCCUUAGAGAAAUUUGGUUGAACCAAGACCCCUGACUGGACCUGCCUCAUGCUCCUAGCCAAGAGCCCUCCUUCACGCAUUAGCAUCCCACUUUCUUUUAGGGAUUUCUCAGGAUCUCAACAACAGCAACAAACACAACAGCCCUAGGUGAGACCAAAGGUCUAGCUCUUCAUCUUGGACCAAAGGAUACAAAACAGAAAGGUAGCUGCAAUAUAAGAAGUACAAGCAGAGUAGGUUGCCUGGGCAUCCUGGUUUCUAUUACCUGCCUUGGCUAAAUAAGACUGAAUUUCUUUAAUAACCAGAGUGUUGUUUGCAAGGCACUGGGCUGGACAGCGUAUCCCUUGUUUCUGCCCUUCAUUUGCAUGCCCGUGGAUGUUGUUGAGAUGAAGUACUGCAUAAAUGCAUGGGUAAAUACACUCCAGCAUAGAAGUCAAACUCAACAGAACUACUGUAUCAUCUAUCUCUUCUGCCCUCCCGGAUAAUUGAGCUUACUGUUUUGUCCUGGCUCUGUGAGCAUCCAGCCAUUUCUGCUACUACUACACAAUUUUAUUUCAGGAGAUUUAAACCUAAAUACUAAUAUAUCCUAAAUAGCAGAUGCAUGUAUAGACAUGUUAAUUGCUGAUGGAUAAAGCCCCAGUAGAUUCUAGUUAUUUCUCCUGGACCAGAUCAAACUUCCUUCUAUGCAUUACAAACAGCUUUCUUUGUGCAUCUCUACAAGCAGCUCUUAACAAACACACUAUCCUGCUUUUAUUACAGAUCAAUUGCUAAAAAGGACACAUAUUAUGCUUUUAAAGUCAUGCUUUCGGCAUCUUGCAUUUUGUACAUCAGUGUAACAUAAAAGCUAAAAAGAAAAAUGAACUAAUCCAGAUAUUGUUGAAAUGUAUACCUAACCCAACCCAACUUGUGUGCUGAAUCUUAUCAGAAGGAAAAGAGUAAGCAGCCUAAGAAAUGCAAAACCUUCUAAAGAAGAAAAGUUGAGAUGGCAAGUACAGAGCUACUAUUCUGCAAAGCCAUUUCACAGAAUCACAGAAUGACCCAGGUUGGAAGGGACCUCAAGGAUCAUGAAGUUCCAACCCCCCUGCCUGGCACAUCCACCAAACUUACAUUUAAAGCCAUUUACACAACUAUGACCAAAUAAUUAAUGUUACCAUAAAGCUUUCUCUAGUUCCACACUGAAUACUUGAUUCCCCCUUCAAAAUGGAAUCGCUUAAGCUAAACUUUACAGUCACAGCUCUGUUCUGCAGCAGCUAGAUAGCACAGCUUUAAUCCUUGGCAAGCAUUAGAGCUGAAGAGGACUCCUGCAACAGAACAGGCUGAAUGCUACACCAUGAUUACAUGGCACAAGAUUGGGGACUGAGAAUCGCCUUGAAUUUGGGAAAGUUUAUGUAAAUAAAAGCAUUUUCUUGAAAAACAAAGAAUUCAUUUCAUCAGUGUGUUUAUCCCACUGGCUGCAGGUGUUUCUCCAUCUAAGUCCAUUCUCCAUUCCACAGUUUACUUCUUUGCAGCACAUAGUGAGCAGUGUUCGCUGCAUGCCAUACUUCUAUUCAAGAAAAUCAAUGUGCUUUCAAGUAGCUUUGGAACCUGGAUUGGCCUGCCUCUGAAUUUCAUGCAGAAAUUGGAUACUCUGAAAGGAUGGGGUUAGGUUUAAAAAGAAAAAAUACCUGGGCUUUAUAAACCAGGAGGCUGACAUAUAUGUAUUUUUUAAAAUGAUUAAUUGCUAGGAAGCAAUAGAUCAGUACCAGCUGGCCAGCUGCUAGAGCUGGGACUUCCUUAUCCCUAACACCUAGAAAAAAAUUUUAUGGCUUAGGAAUGACAGAUAGAAAAGGGGGAAAAAAAAA